GCUUUGGCAGCCAGAGGUAAAUAAAGCAAUUUCCACCGUUGUCUCUACACUCAAAUUUGUCAAGCGGUUUUAUUAGGCUACAUGAAAACAUCUUUUGCAAUGUUUUCUUUGUUUCUCGUUAUGAGUUUGAUGUUGGUCACAUCGCAAGCGGCCCAAUUUGAUGACGUUUGCAGUUUGAAGCGAGAAUCCGUCAAGUGCCGAACAUUACUUCCCACUUGGUAUUUCGACAAAGCGACUGGAACUUGUUACUCGUUCAACAUCGGUGAAUGUAGCAGAAACUUUAACAGUUUCGGGACAAAAAAUGAAAAAAGAUAUGUGAGAAGAGGUGCGCAACACCAGCAA